UACGGUAGGGGCUAGCGUUGUCCGGAAUAUUGGGCGUAAAGCGCGUGUAGGCGGUCCGGUAAGUCCGCUGUGAAAGUCGAGGGCUCAACCCUCGAAUGCCGGUGGAUACUGUCGGGCUAGAGUGCGGGAAGAGGCGAGUGGAAUUCCCGGUGUAGCGGUGAAAUGCGCAGAUAUCAGGAGGAACACCUGCGGCGAAGGCGGGUUGCUGGGCUGAUACUGACGCUGGAGGCGCGAAAGCCCAGGGGAGCGAACGGGA
rnacentral:rRNA from 1 species